rnacentral:rRNA from 1 species
GAUGAACGCUGACAGAAUGCUUAACACAUGCAAGUCUACUUGAACUUCGGUUUGGGUGGCGGACGGGUGAGUAACGCGUUAAGAACUUGCCUCACAGUUAGGGACAACAUUUGGAAACGAAUGCUAAUACCUGAUAUUAUGAUUUUAGGGCAUCCUAAGAUUAUGAAAGCUAUAUGUGCUGUGAGAGAGCUUUGCGUCCCAUUAGCUAGUUGGAGAGGUAACGGCUCACCAAGGCGAUGAUGGGUAGCCGGCCUGAGAGGGUGAACGGCCACAAGGGGACUGAGACACGGCCCUUACUCCUACGGGAGGCAGCAGUGGGGAAUAUUGGACAAUGGACCAAAAGUCUGAUCCAGCAAUUCUGUGUGCACGAUGACGUUUUUCGGAAUGUAAAGUGCUUUCAGUUGGGAAGAAAAAAAUGACGGUACCAACAGAAGAAGUGACGGCUAG